GCCACACUGUGUUGAUCCACUCAUGC
rnacentral:piRNA from 1 species